rnacentral:rRNA from 1 species
GUAAGGGCAUGCGAUGGAUGCCUUGGCGUCGAGAGACGAUGAAGGACGUGGAUAGCUGCGAUAAGCCUCGGGGAGCCGCUAACAGGCAUUGAUCCGGGGAUUUCCGAAUGGGGCAACCCGUGGAGGUUCAUACCUCCCAUCGCUCGGAACAAUAAAUAACCGAGCGAGGACAACGAGGGGAAGUGAAACAUCUCAGUACCCUCAGGAAAAGAAAGCAAACGCGAUUCCCCAAGUAGCGGCGAGCGAACGGGGAUCAGCCCAAACCGUUCAACCAUGUGGCCUGUCGGCUUAGGUUGGGCGGGGUUGCGGGGCAGCUGGUGGCGGAACGACAGAUCCGCCGGAGGAGGCCGCAUAAUACGCGGUCUGAAUCGUAGCCGAACAGAUUGGAAACCUGGCCAUAGAGGGUGAUAGCCCCUUAGGCGAAACGGUGAAAAUCCUCUUCAGCUGUUCCCAAGUACCGCGGGACACGUGGAACCCUGCGGGAAUCCGGGAGGACCACCUUCCAAGGCUAAAUACUACUCGACGACCGAUAGUGAACUAGUACCGCGAGGGAAAGGUGAAAAGCACCCCAUUGAGGGGAGUGAAAUAGUACCUGAAAUCGCAUGUCUACAAGCAGUGGUAGCUCUAUGGUCGCAAGCUUCGGCCUGCGACCAGAGCGACCUCGUACCUUUUGCAUAAUGGGUCAGCGAGUUAAUCUUAGCGGCAAGGUUAAGCCGUAGGGAAGUCCCAAUGGUGUAGCCGUAGCGAAAGCGAGUCUGAAUAGGGCGACAAGUCGCUGGGAUUAGACACGAAGCCAAGUGAGCUACCCAUGGCCAGGAUGAAGAGUGGGUAAUACCACUUCGGAGGUCCGAACUCACUCAGGUUGAAAACUGAGGAGAUGAGCUGUGGGUAGGGGUGAAAGGCUAAUCAAACUUGGUGAUAGCUUGUUCUCCCCGAAAUGUAUUUGGGUACAGCCUCGUGAGUCGGCGACGGAGGUAGAGCUCUGGAUGGGCUAGGGGUCUUACCGGAUUACCAAACCCAACCAAACUACGAAUUCCGUCGACUGCAAUCACGGGAGUGAGACUGUGGGUGAUAAGAUUCAUAGUCGAGAGGGAAAUAGCCCAGACCGCCGGCUAAGGCCCCUAAAUGUAUGCUAAGUGGUUAAGGAAGUGGAAGCGCGUUGACAACCAGGAGGUUGGCUUAGAAGCAGCCAUCCUUUAAAGAAAGCGUAACAGCUCACUGGUCGAUGUGAGUCCGCGCCGAAAAUGUAGCGGGGCUCAAGCAUACUGCCGACGCCGCGGGAUCGGCCCGGUCUUCGGACCGGGUGGAUCGGUAGGGGAGCGUUCCAGUCGCCUGUGAAGGUAGACCGUAAGGACUGCUGGAGGCCCUGGAAGUGAUUAUGCUGACAUGAGUAGCUUUCAUGCCGGUGAGAACCCGGCACGCCGUUUGCCCAAGGUUUCCUGGGGAAGGUCAAUCCGCCCAGGGUUAGUCGGACCCUAAGCCGAGGCUGAAAAGCGUAGGCGAUGGAAAACAGGUUAAUAAUCCUGUACCACUGGGGUUCACGUUGAAGCUGCACGGGAGGACGGAGAUUGGUAGGCCAGCCUACUACUGGAUGUAGGUUCAAGCUCGCAGGGGUCUCCUUGGAUAAUAAACGGGAGAAUCGCCCCGAGGAGUGAUGAGGAGGGUCUUCGACCCACAAACUGGUUGAUCCUAUGCUCCCAAGAAAAGUCCCGCAGUGGAGUGUACUCCGGUGUCCGUACUACAAACCGACUCAGGUGGGCAAGGAGAGAAUCCUAAGGCGUGUGAGAUAACCCUCGCUAAGGAACUAAGCAAAAUAGCACCGUAACUUCGGGAGAAGGUGUGCCCGCUCUAGGUGAUGGAAUUUACUUCCCGAGCCGAAGCGGGUCGCAGUGACUAGGCGGUAGCGACUGUUUACUAAAAACACAGGACUCUGCAAACUCGCAAGAGGAUGUAUAGGGUCUGACGCCUGCCCGGUGCUGGAAGGUUAAGGGGAUCGGUUAGCCGCAAGGCGAAGCCGUGAACCGAAGCCCCAGUAAACGGCGGCCGUAACUAUAACGGUCCUAAGGUAGCGAAAUUCCUUGUCGGGUAAGUUCCGACCUGCACGAAUGGCGUAACGACUUCCGCACUGUCUCAGCGAGGGACUCAGCGAAACUGAAUUGGCAGUGAAAAUGCUGUCUACCCGCGGCAAGACGGUAAGACCCUGUGGACCUUUACUACAGCUUGGCAUUGAAUUUCGAAUUGAUCUGUAGAGGAUAGGUAGGAGGCUUUGAAACCGGGUCGUCAGAUUCGGCGGAGCCAACGGUGGAAUACUACCCUGGUCAGUUUGGAAUUCUAACUCCGCUCCGUAAUCCGGGGCGAGGACAAUGCCUGGCGGGUAGUUUGACUGGGGCGGUCGCCUCCCAAAAUGUAACGGAGGCGCGCUAAGGUUCCCUCAGGCUGAUUGGAAACCAGCCGAAGAGUGCAAAGGCAUAAGGGAGCUUAACUGCGAGACUGACGGGUCAAGCAGGUGGGAAACCAGGUCUUAGUGAUCCGGCGGUUCUGAGUGGAAGGGCCGUCGCUCAUCGGACAAAAGGUACCCCGGGGAUAACAGGCUGAUCGCAUCCAAGAGUUCACAUCGACGAUGCGGUUUGGCACCUCGAUGUCGGCUCAUCGCAUCCUGGGGCUGAAGUCGGUCCCAAGGGUUUGGCUGUUCGCCAAUUAAAGCGGUACGCGAGCUGGGUUUAGAACGUCGUGAGACAGUUCGGUCCCUAUCUGCCGUGGGCGGAGGAUACUUGAGAGGAGCUAUCCCUAGUACGAGAGGACCGGGAUGGACGCACCACUGGUGUUCCAGUUGUCCUGCCAAGGGCAUUGCUGGGUAGCUAUGUGCGGAAAGGAUAACCGCUGAAAGCAUCUAAGCGGGAAGCCUCCCUCAAGAUUAGGUAUCCCGCUCCGUAAGGAGCCUAAAGACCCCUUCUAGACUAGGAGGUUGAUAGGCCGGAGGUGGAAGCGCAGUAAUGCGUGGAGCUGACCGGUACUAAUUGGUCGUGAGGCUUGACC